GACGAACGCUGGCGGCGUGCCUAAUACAUGCAAGUAGAACGCUGAAGGAGGAGCUUGCUCUUCUGGAUGAGUUGCGAACGGGUGAGUAACGCGUAGGUAACCUGCCUGGUAGCGGGGGAUAACUAUUGGAAACGAUAGCUAAUACCACAUAAGAGUAGAUGUUGCAUGACAUUUACUUAAAAGGUGCAAUUGCAUCACUACCAGAUGGACCUGCGUUGUAUUAGCUAGUUGGUGGGGUAACGGCUUACCAAGGCGACGAUACAUAGCCGACCUGAGAGGGUGAUCGGCCACACUGGGACUGAGACACGGCCCAGAAUCCUACGGGAGGCAGCAGUAGGGAAUCUUCGGCAAUGGACGGAAGUCUGACCGAGCAACGCCGCGUGAGUGAAGAAGGUUUUCGGAUCGUAAAGCUCUGUUGUAAGAGAAGAACGAGUGUGAGAGUGGAAAGUUCACACUGUGACGGUAUCUUACCAGAAAGGGACGGCUAACUACGUG
rnacentral:rRNA from 1 species